CUUGAAUCUUGGUGACUUUUAUAUUUAUUAAAUCAUUAAUCUAUUUCCUGACUAAACCUAGUAGGAAAUUCUGUUUGAAUCUCCAGCAUAAGAACUUUUCUUGGCAGAUCUCUUUUAAGAAGUAGCCUUACAUGAUGCUCCAUUUCAAACACCGAACAGUGUUUAAUACAUGCUUUUUAUAUGUUUUUGUUGAUGCACUGUUUUUUUACUUAAGAAAGCAUGUGUGGACUUUGAUUUACUGAUCCCAGAAAACUUAUUCUUGCUUUGAAUGCAUGA
rnacentral:lncRNA from 1 species